AUAAUGGUGUCUUUAGACACCACCUUUUAUCUUCAAUUGUGUUGUC
rfam:Picea glauca, whole genome shotgun sequence.